rnacentral:rRNA from 1 species
ACUCCUACGGGAGGCAGCAGUUAGGAAUAUUCGGCAAUGGGGGAAAGCCCUGACGAGCGACACUGCGUGAAGGAGGAAGGCCUUAGGGUUGUAAAACUUCUGAACGAGAGACGAUAAUGACGGUAUCUCGGUAAUAGCACCGGCUAACUCCGUGCCAGCAGCCGCGGUAAUACGGAGGGUGCGAGCGUUAUCCGGGAAUCACUGGGCGUAAAGGGCGCGUAGGCGGUUACAUAAGUCCGAUGUUAAAGCGUAGGGCUCAACCCUAUAAAGGCGUUGGAUACUGUGAAACUAGACUUCUGGAGAGGUAAGUGGAAUUACCAGAGUAGCGGUGAAAUGCGUAGAUACUGGUAGGAACACCCAUAGCGAAGGCAGCUUACUGGACAGAGAGUGACGCUGAGGCGCGAAAGUGUGGGGAGCAAACCGAUUAGAUACCCUGGUAGGUCAGU